UACGAAGGGGGCUAGCGUUGUUCGGAAUUACUGGGCGUAAAGCGCGUGUAGGCGGGUCUUUUAGUCAGGGGUGAAAUCCUGGAGCUCAACUCCAGAACUGCCUUUGAUACUGGAGAGCUAGAGUCCGGAAGAGGUGAGUGGAACUGCGAGUGUAGAGGUGAAAUUCGUAGAUAUUCGCAAGAACACCAGUGGCGAAGGCGGCUCACUGGUCCGGUACUGACGCUGAGGUGCGAAAGCGUGGGGAGCAAACAGG
rnacentral:rRNA from 1 species